GCGUGAUGACGAGGCACUACGGUGCUGAAGCAACAAAUGCCCUGCUUCCAGGAAAAGCCUCUAAGCAUCAGGUAACAUCAAAUCGUACCCCAAACCGACACAGGUGGUCAGGUAGAGAAUACCAAGGCGCUUGAGAGAACUCGGGUGAAGGAACUAGGCAAAAUGGUGCCGUAACUUCGGGAGAAGGCACGCUGACACGUAGGUGAAGUGAUUUACUCACGGAGCUGAAGUCAGUCGAAGAUACCAGCUGGCUGCAACUGUUUAUUAAAAACACAGCACUGUGCAAACACGAAAGUGGACGUAUACGGUGUGACGCCUGCCCGGUGCCGGAAGGUUAAUUGAUGGGGUCAGCGCAAGCGAAGCUCCUGAUCGAAGCCCCGGUAAACGGCGGCCGUAACUAUAACGGUCCUAAGGUAGCGAAAUUCCUUGUCGGGUAAGUUCCGACCUGCACGAAUGGCGUAAUGAUGGCCAGGCUGUCUCCACCCGAGACUCAGUGAAAUUGAACUCGCUGUGAAGAUGCAGUGUACCCGCGGCAAGACGGAAAGACCCCGUGAACCUUUACUAUAGCUUGACACUGAACAUUGAGCCUUGAUGUGUAGGAUAGGUGGGAGGCUUUGAAGUGUGGACGCCAGUCUGCAUGGAGCCGACCUUGAAAUACCACCCUUUAAUGUUUGAUGUUCUAACGUGGACCCGUAAUCCGGGUUGCGGACAGUGUCUGGUGGGUAGUUUGACUGGGGCGGUCUCCUCCUAAAGAGUAACGGAGGAGCACGAAGGUUGGCUAAUCCUGGUCGGACAUCAGGAGGUUAGUGCAAUGGCAUAAGCCAGCUUGACUGCGAGCGUGACGGCGCGAGCAGGUGCGAAAGCAGGUCAUAGUGAUCCGGUGGUUCUGAAUGGAAGGGCCAUCGCUCAACGGAUAAAAGGUACUCCGGGGAUAACAGGCUGAUACCGCCCAAGAGUUCAUAUCGACGGCGGUGUUUGGCACCUCGAUGUCGGCUCAUCACAUCCUGGGGCUGAAGUAGGUCCCAAGGGUAUGGCUGUUCGCCAUUUAAAGUGGUACGCGAGCUGGGUUUAGAACGUCGUGAGACAGUUCGGUCCCUAUCUGCCGUGGGCGCUGGAGAACUGAGGGGGGCUGCUCCUAGUACGAGAGGACCGGAGUGGACGCAUCACUGGUGUUCGGGUUGUCAUGCCAAUGGCACUGCCCGGUAGCUAAAUGCGGAAGAGAUAAGUGCUGAAAGCAUCUAAGCACGAAACUUGCCCCGAGAUGAGUUCUCCCUGAGACUUAGAGUCUCCUGAAGGAACGUUGAAGACGACGACGUUGAUAGGCCGGGUGUGUAAGCGCAGCGAUGCGUUGAGCUAACCGGUACUAAUGAACCGUGAGGCUUAACCUUACA
rnacentral:rRNA from 1 species